rnacentral:rRNA from 1 species
AUUGAACGCUGGCGGCAGGCCUAACACAUGCAAGUCGAGCGGAUGAAGGGAGCUUACUCCUGGAUUCAGCGGCGGACGGGUGAGUAAUGCCUAGGAAUCUGCCUGGUAGUGGGGGAUAACGUCCGGAAACGGGCGCUAAUACCGCAUACGUCCUGAGGGAGAAAGUGGGGGAUCUUCGGACCUCACGCUAUCAGAUGAGCCUAGGUCGGAUUAGCUAGUUGGUGGGGUAAAGGCCUACCAAGGCGACGAUCCGUAACCGGUCUGAGAGGAUGAUCAGUCACACUGGAACUGAGACACGGUCCAGACUCCUACGGGAGGCAGCAGUGGGGAAUAUUGGACAAUGGGCGAAAGCCUGAUCCAGCCAUGCCGCGUGUGUGAAGAAGGUCUUCGGAUUGUAAAGCACUUUAAGUUGGGAGGAAGGGCAGUAAGUUAAUACCUUGCUGUUUUGACGUUACCAACAGAAUAAGCACCGGCUAACUUCGUG